UUCUUUUUUCUCCCCUCCCUGCAAUUUAGCAGAUAGGUGGGUCUCUUGGCCUGUGGCUCCUUCUUUACCCAGCAAGUCUCCCUCCCCAGAGAUGAGGAUCCCUGUAAUUACCUGAGGUCCUCUCCCUCCCUUGUCCCCACACCACCUCCCAGGUCCUCUCCCUCUCUAGAAGAAAUGGUCCAAGUUACAAGGCAGACACUACUGAAGCUCCAGAGAAGUCUCAGUAGCUUCUAGUUUCUGGCAUUUUGGUCACUGGCAUUUGGCAAAAUGGCCCUUGAUUUAACCAUAAAAGAGGAAUUUGCUGAUACUCAACCAGUCCGCCCCGACUAGUUGUGGACGAUGUCUGCCAGCUGCCUACAGAAUCCACCCUUUUCCUUUGGAAUUCCCUCCUUCUCCUGACGCUGACAAUACCCUUGCCCUUCAGAGGACCUGCCUUCCCACUCUCCAUUGGACACUGUGGAACUUCUUGGCGUCCAGUCCCAAGGGCACAGCCACCGCAGGACUUCACGUCUGCCUGCCUGAGCAGGGCUGGUGUCUUAUGAAUGGCAGCUGAGACCCAGUUCAGGCUCACGACCUCAUAUCACAGGUCAGAAAACAAAAGAACAAUUGAGUUCUUAUGAAAACUUGCCAGAUUUCCAUACAAAAGUUUCCUUCUUGAAAUCCCUUUUUUUUUUUUUUUUUUACUUUUCAUCAUAGAAAUGAACUCAAAGGAAAAUGACUAAUCACCGACCUACUCAGAAUCAUUGGUCCCCGGCAAGCAAGGGUGAUCCUGCAUCAAUCUAUUAAUUUUCAUUUCCAGGGUUCUCAGAUGUAAAACAAAUGUUUGAUGUAAUCCGCAACACUGCUCUGUUAUAAUUAAACAACCUCCUACUGCCUAAAUUGGCAAAGCACUCCAUCGAUCAGUGAUAAAUGUGGUCCUUGGGAGACUGCUUUUAUGUUUGUUUCACUCAUGGGAAAAUGGCCACAACCCUUUUGUAAGAUUCCUCGGCUGCUGCUCUCCCCAGGUUACAAUCAUAGUAACUGCUGCUUCUGGGAUGCCUCGCUGUAAUCCUCAUGUUCAAUGAUGGCUCAAUGGAUAUGUGCUUGAAGGAGAGUGAGUGAUGGGGAGUCUACAGUUAUGAAUAAAAUAUAUUCAAGUCAAUAAACCCUUCCUGGGUUCCUUUGCCUCACCAUUUUAUGCACAAUUUAUGAAGCACCCUACACAUACCAGGAG